UACGAAGGGGGCUAGCGUUGCUCGGAAUUACUGGGCGUAAAGCGCACGUAGGCGGCUCUUUAAGUCGGAGGUGAAUCCUGGAGCUCAACUCCAGAACUGCCUUCGAUACUGAAGAGCUCGAGUCCGGGAGAGGUGAGUGGAACUGCGAGUGUAGAGGUGAAAUUCGUAGAUAUUCGCAAGAACACCAGUGGCGAAGGCGGCUCACUGGCCCGGUACUGACGCUGAGGUGCGAAAAGCGUGGGGAGCAAACAGG
rnacentral:rRNA from 1 species